UGGUGGAGUGAUUUGUCUGGUUAAUUCCGUUAACGAACGAGACCUCGACCUGCUAAAUAGUUCGGCGAACCCCUCGGGGUUCGCACGCAACUUCUUAGAGGGACUAUCGGUGUCUAGCCGAUGGAAGCUCGAGGCAAUAACA
rnacentral:rRNA from 1 species